rnacentral:rRNA from 1 species
UACGGUCAAGUCACGCUGAAACACCGGUUCUCGUACGAUCACCGAAGUUAAGCAUCGUAGAGCCAGGUCAGUACUUAGAUGGGGGACCGCUUGGGAACACCUGGUACUGUAAG